GUGCCAGCCGCCGCGGUAAUACGGAGGGUGCAAGCGUUAAUCGGAAUUACUGGGCGUAAAGCGUACGUAGGCGGUCCGGUCAGUCCGAUGUGAAAGCCCUGGGCUUAACCUGGGAACUGCAUUUGAUACUGCCUGACUGGAGUGUGGUAGAGGGAAGUGGAAUUCCGGGUGCAGCGGUGAAAUGCGUAGAUAUCCGGAGGAACACCAGUGGCGAAGGCGGCUUCCUGGACCAACACGGACGCUGAGGUACGAAAGCGUGGGUGGCAAACAGGAUUAGAAACCCCAGUAGUCC
rnacentral:rRNA from 1 species